UGCGUAGGCGGUUUGGUAAGUCUUAUGUGAAAUCUAUGGGCUCAACUCAUAGUCUGCAUGAGAAACUGCCGGGCUUGAGUAUGGGAGAGGUGAGUGGAAUUCCUGGUGUAGCGGUGAAAUGCGUAGAUAUCAGGAGGAACACCUGUGGCGAAAGCGGCUCACUGGACCAUAACUGACGCUGAUGCACGAAAGCUAGGGGAGCAAACAGGAUUAGAUACCCUGGUAGUCCUAGCCCUAAACGAUGACUGCUUGGUGUGACGGGUACCCAAUCCCGCCGUGCCGUAGCUAACGCGUUAAGCAGUCCGCCUGGGGAGUACGGUCGCAAGGCUGAA
rnacentral:rRNA from 1 species